AGUGAACGCCGGCGGUAGGCCUAACACAUGCGAGUCGAACGGCAGCACAGUAAGAGCUUGCUCUUACGGGUGGCGCGUGGCGGACGGGUGAGGAAUACAUCGGAAUCUACUUUUUCGUGGGGGAUAACGUAGGGAAACUUACGCUAAUACCGCAUACGACCUACGGGUGAAAGCAGGGGAUCUUCGGACCUUGCGCGAUUGAAUGAGCCGAUGUCGGAUUAGCUAGUUGGCGGGGUAAAGGCCCACCAAGGCGACGAUCCGUAGCUGGUCUGAGAGGAUGAUCAGCCACACUGGAACUGAGACACGGUCCAGACUCCUACGGGAGGCAGCAGUGGGGAAUAUUGGACAAUGGGCGCAAGCCUGAUCCAGCCAUACCGCGUGGGUGAAGAAGGCCUUCGGGUUGUAAAGCCCUUUUGUUGGGAAAGAAAAGCAGCAGGUUAAUACCCCGCUGUUCUGACGGUACCCAAAGAAUAAGCACCGGCUAACUUCGUG
rnacentral:rRNA from 1 species